rnacentral:rRNA from 1 species
CGGUAAUACAGAGGGGGCGAGCGUUAUUCGGAAUUAUUGGGCGUAAAGGGCGCGUAGGCGGCUUGGCAAGUCAAAGGUGAAAUCCCUCGGCUCAACCGAGGAACUGCCUUUGAAACUGCCGGGCUCGAGGCCGGGAGAGGGUAGUGGAAUUCCCAGUGUAGCGGUGAAAUGCGUAGAUAUUGGGAGGAACACCGGUGGCGAAGGCGGCUACCUGGACCGGUUCUGACGCUGAGGCGCGAAAGCGUGGGGAGCAAACAGGAUUAGAUACCCUGGUAGUCCACGCUGUAAACGAUGGGUACUCGGUGUCGCGGGUAUCGACCCCUGCGGUGCCUUAGCUAACGCGUUAA